CGCAUAUUAACAUACAAACUCGUGCAAGCGAUUAACAAGGAGAGGAUGGAAGCGAACACUGUGAAUGAAGCCAAAGUCUAUAUAUACCAAGUCAAGUCACGCGCAGGUUUGUGGGAGGAGACACGGCCGAGGCGUGGUUUAUGCGUGACACUGCUUGGAGCCAAACUAGAGAAUGUAGAAACAGGGAUUUAGAGAAAACGAGGAAAGGCGGACUAAUUUAAA